UACAGAGGGUGCAAGCGUUGUUCGGAAUUAUUGGGCGUAAAGCGCGUGUAGGCGGCUUGGCAAGUCGGGUGUGAAAGCCCUCAGCUCAACUGAGGAAGUGCGCCCGAAACUGCCAGGCUUGAGUGUCGGAGAGGGUCGUGGAAUUCCCCAAGUAGAGGUGAAAUUCGUAGAUAUGGGGAGGAACACCGGUGGCGAAGGCGGCGACCUGGACGAUAACUGACGCUGAGACGCGAAAGCGUGGGGAGCAAACAGG
rnacentral:rRNA from 1 species